UUGCGCGGCUAUGAACUCGGAGUGGAGUUUCCGGUUAACGUAGUGACGUGAAGUUUCCAACGUGUCGCUGUUGUGCGUUCGUGCUCACCACCGCUGCCGCCGUCGCGACCGCCGUGAAGUGCGCAUCGUUAGUACCGAAUUGUGUGUACAUAUAAAUGGCGGCUGACGAAAAAUGGUACUUUACGAAAGAACAGCUUACAAACACGCCGAGCAGAAGAUGCGGCAUCGACGCGGAUAGGGAACUGAGCUACCGGCAGCAGGCGGCGAAUUUCAUUCAGGAUAUGGGACAGCGGCUUGUGGUAUCACAAUUAUGUAUCAACACAGCAAUAGUGUACAUGCACAGGUUCUACGUAUUCCACUCGCUGUCACAGUUUCACAGGAAUGCAAUUGCAGCUGCGGCACUAUUUUUAGCAGCAAAAGUAGAAGAACAACCGCGCAAGUUAGAACAUGUUAUCAAAAUGGCACACGUUUGUCUCCACAGAGAUCAGCCCCCACCUGACAUCAGGUCUGAGCAAUAUCUUGAGCAAGCUCAGGACCUGGUUUUCAAUGAAAAUGUCCUACUACAAACAUUGGGGUUUGAUGUGGCCAUUGAUCAUCCCCAUACACAUGUUGUUAGGUGUUGUCAACUGGUUAAAGCGAGCAAGGACUUAGCCCAGACUUCAUACUUCAUGGCAUCUAACAGCUUACAUUUGACGACGAUGUGUCUGCAAUACAAGCCAACGGUAGUCGCCUGUUUCUGCAUACAUCUCGCCUGCAAAUGGUCUAAUUGGGAGAUACCACAAAGUACAGAAGGAAAGCAUUGGUUCUGGUACGUCGACAGGAGUGUGACUUCUGAUCUUCUUCAAGAGCUUACCGACGAAUUCCUUCAUAUAUUUGAUAAAUGCCCCUCGAGAUUAAAGAGGAAAAUCAUGAGCAUAUCCGCCAAUCAAAGUCCAAGCAUCAAUCAUCCUAGUUUACCAAAUUCACCUUUCGACGCGGAACCCCGUAAAGUACAGUCUCCUGCGACGACGGCCGAUGGUGGACCAACAUUCCAUACGAAUCGACCUCAUCACACGGAGAAGCAAGAAGAUAAGAAACAACUUGCUUCUGCACCCUCGAGACCUCCAGUCGACUACCGCGAAUAUCGCGAGAAGAAGGAACGGGAACGUUUGGGAAGAGAGAAAGCAUCAGCUCCGACGGCAGCUGCUAUGACUCACUCGUCAGAUAUCAAUAUUCAUCAUUCUCAUCAUCACAAACCUGUAUGUAGUACAAACGUGUUGAAUAAGCAUCCAUUGCCGCCUGCACAGAAGGCGCUUCAUCAUAACCAUCACCAUAGACCGGAAGUGAAGGUCGGCCAGCCGGUACCGCAAAGACAUUCGAGUAAUAGCCAAGCUAGGGAACCAAAUCGUGAUCCUAAUAGACAGAGGUUACAAAGAGAAUACAAUUCUACCGGUACAAGUAGCAGUAGUAGCAGUAGUAGCAGCCUUCACUCACAUAGCCACGCAGUGCCGAAGGAGCCGAGCUCGGAGAAUUCCUUGAACGACUCUGUUGCUCACAGAUCUGACGUCGGAGCGUUGCAGGAGCCGGUGUCGCAUGGGAACAUGCAGGAGAAACUUAGUAAUAAUAAUCAUAGUGUGCAUAGAUUAAGCGGCGUAGAGAGUAAGCAUCAGGGUCACGACAAGAGGAUGUAUGAUCCAAGGCAUAAGCCUGUAGAGCAUCGAAAAGACAGCGAACAGAAACCAUACAAAUACCCGGACCCAUCGAGAGUGGACCGGCAGAGGAAGUCCGACACUCUAGAGCAGAGGUGCGAGGAGGUGAGGAAGAUCAUCGAGAAACCUCUACCUCCGCCGAAGCCUACGCUUGACGCACCGUACGCUCCGAACGCGCAGAAACCGACCCAUCACAGUAAAUACAAUCAACUAGACAAACUGCAGACCAGCAGCGGCGCGGUGUCAGUCGAUGGCAAACUGAUCGCCGGCCAAAGCUCGUUUACGCAAGAAAAGUCGCCGACCAAUGCAAGCUCGUUGCUCUCUCAGAAAUCGUUGUCCUCGAAAACAGUGUCGAACCAGCACACCGCACAUGGUGUGUCGCAGAUAUUGAAAGACACCAUUAAGAACGGCAGUUCCCAGGCGUCGAGUCUGGCGUCUUUGAACAACCUGGACGAUCCGAAAACGGAGAAACGGCCGCGGCACGACGAGGUCGACAAGAACUCGUCGGACAUCCAGCAAAGUGUGCUGCAAACACCGCCUAGCAAGCACAAGUCCUUAUUCAGCCCGGAGAAGGUACCGACGCCUCGUGAAUCCCACUCGCAGAGGCCUAAAUCUAAACAGAAGACACCGCCGUCGGCGGCUAAAGUUCCUAAGCAAGAGCGUGUAUCAGAUUCGUCUAUAGGUUUUAAUUUAGUCUCGCCGUUUGCGAGUCCGCCGGGCUUGCAGCAGCAGCAGCAGGAAACGCUUCCAAUUAAACGGUCGGCCAGCGACGUCGCCUCGUCCUCUCAUAAAAGGCAUCGCUCGGGUAGCGCGAGCGAAGGUGGCCAACCGGUCAAAGUCAAGAUAGAGGACAGACCAAGCUUUGAGGCCGUGAAAAUGCUCGGCAGGGUGCCGGAAUUGAUACAGCCGAUCAGGGACAAUCCAUCGUCGAACGGUAGAGCCAGUCAGAUCGCAAACGAUAUGAAGCCACCGGAACUGAUCAAGCCGUUCGACUUGGAGCCGACGAUGUCACGAUUCAGCGGCGCGCAACAUCAGCAAGCGUUGUCGAAUCAACAAGGCCUGACGAACGGGCUAGACACGAACGUGGUGAAACAAGAGACUCAAGAGUUUCAGGUGAAGAAGGAAUCGUAUAAGGCUGACGUAUCGAAGAAGAUGGAGCACCAACAAAUUAAAGCGGAAUACCUGUCACCGAUGAAGUCCGCUCAGAGUAUAAGCGCGUUGCUGCAGGAACCGUUGGCGCCGAUGCCGUCUCUGCUUCAAAGUAUGCAGCCGUUCAGUCAAUCAGUGACCCAGCAACAAAUCUCUCAGGAGCAGUUCCAACAACAGCACUUGCAACAACAGCAGCAACAGCAACAACAACCACCACCGCCACCGCCAGCACCUCUGCAAUCGCAACAGCCACCAGCACCGCAACAGCAACAACCACCGCAACAACAGUCCAUGUCUCAUUCGAUCUUGCUAUCCGACCAUCAAAUUCCCAUUCAGAAUCAAUGCUUGUCUUUGCCGACGGUCAGCGAGCCCGUGAUAGCUUCGACCGUGGAUAUAAGCGCUCUCUCCGUUUCAGUGCAGAGCACCACGGAAUCGAUCAUCUCGGUGCCCACGUCGACGACAACGUUGACGGUCCCGGCCCCGCCUGCCGAGGAGAAACGGUCCGACCACCACAGAAGCGAAAAGAAGAAGAAGAAGGAGAAGCACAAGCACAAAGACAAGGAGAAAAGUAAGGAGAAACACAAGCACAAACACAAGGAUAAAGACAAAGAGAAACAUCGGGAGAAGGACAAGGAGAAGGCGAGCGACGAGGCGGUACCCGCUGUGCCCAUCAAAAUCACCAUCCCUAAAGACAAGCUGAACCUCAGCACAGAGUCGACCGGGACCACUGGUGGUAGCGGGCUGCCGGUCGACAAGAACAAGUCGCCUCAGAGCACCAGCAUUAAGAUCAUUAUACCUAAGGAACGACUGAAGGGCGCGGACAACGUGUCAAACUCGCCCGGCCAGUCGGUCGUCCAGGCACCCUUGAAGAUCAAGAUCCGCACGGAUGGAAUCUCGCGGAGCUCGACCGGCGCGUCGUCGACAACGAACAGCUCGGCCGGCGUAAUGCCGGAGUUCGCGAACGAGAGCCGGAAACGGGAUCGCGGCUCGGACAUGAAGGAAAGCCCGACGACCAGCGUACCGCCCACGAAGAAGCAAUCGCAGAUGUCCUCGGCGGGAUACGGGCAACACCGGCCGGGCGAACGGCAGAACGGCAGACACUAUAGUUCAGGCAGCAAUAACAAGGAGAAGCACUCGUCUAGCCACCACAAAAGCUCCAGUAAGCUGUCUCAGUCCCAGCAGUCGCACGCGACGUAGUAUUCGGACGUCGGUCGAAGAGGAUAUCGGUAAAAGUCACGAGAAACGAAGAGGAAAACAGUCGCUGAACUGGCUCGACCCGUCGAUCUCCAACCGGAAGCUGAGGAAUUUCGCCGUGCCAGCGCUUUCGUCGUCCUCGAAACCGGAUCGAGACCUCGGAGGAAUGCAGCUUUCAUCGUUGUUCACGUUUUUUCUUGCUCGAACGAUCGAGAAGAGAAGAAGAGGAGGAAAAACCUUCGUGGCUUCUCGAGCGAGGGGAAGCCCCGGCGGCCAUUUUGGUACCGCCCGCUGGCGCUGGACGCGAAUCGAUCCGCGAUUGAACACAUGAACAAAGUAAAAAAGGGGGGGAGAACACGGAAACAGAUGAAAUGGGAAUAACGUUCUUAUACUCAGGUGAAAUUAGGUAACACGCGAUCAAGUGCUAUAAGAGGAAAGCAAACUUCACUUCGUCCUUCGGUCGUUGGAUUGGCCGCGACUGAUCACACGAGCCCGUUUCCUAUCCGCGCGUAUUACCUUCAGCAAAUUUUGUUUUCCUAUUUCAGAGUAACGGCAAUGAUCGUCGCUCGAGAUCGAUUCCAAGUCGCAUGUUGUUCUUCGUAGAAGCUACGUUAACACUGGAUCUACCGUGUUAAAACGUGUGAUAAAAUAAUUUCUUCUUUUUCAAGUGUUGAAACGAUAACCUGUUAUGCUCUGAAACGUUAUCGAAGAAAUUGUUUUCGUAACACGCCAACUGAAUUGUCAGUUGAAAUCUCAGUGGAUGCAUUUGUAGCGUUUCUGUGACGAAAUUAGAAAAAGGCAAUUCGACUGCUCGAUAGUUUUAGGAUUAAGCGACGCUGAUAGGAUCUCGGCUACCGUUUCAAUGAAUUUAUUGUUAACACUUUCACGGUCGUGCGAUUCUUUGUGUGGAUUGUAUCUUGAGCUAGGAAGCUGGGAUAUUUUAGUUAGUAACGAAAGUAACGAUGGAUUUGUCAGAACCUUGCCUAGCAAUACGAAGCAAUACUUGUAGCGAGAAGCCUCCGUUGAACUUGAUCGAUAUUAUUUAGUUCAGAUUGAUUAGAGGGAAAUACUAUCUUUAUUUUGGAGAACUGACAGAGAUAAAGUAAUUCUUGCGAGUGCAACUGUGAAAAAGAGCAUGAGGCAAGGAGUAAAUUUGUGAAUAGCAAGCGUACUAUCGUGAGAACCUUUGUGAACAUGAUUUUGUGAAAAGUUUCACUGAAGAGAUGAAUUUCAAAUGAAAAGCACGGCUGUCAAAGUGUUAAUUGAUUACUUUAUACGCUAAAGUAUGACAGAAACCGAAGUCCAUUCAGCGAUCGCUUUACAGAUUCGUUUUUCCAUUAGUCUGAACCGAGAAUCAAACGUGAAUCGAUCCCGAGGGCAGUUCAGUGCCAAGCCGUUUUUUUUUUGUAUUUGUUAUCCUGUUCAACUGCCACGUUUCCUUGCAUCGAAUAACGAGAGACAACGCGUCGCCGUUCACACGGCUAGCAAAUUGAUCGUCGAUCGAUUCGUCGGACAGGGACGUUGAUUGUAAAGCGAUUCGCGUGUCGAUCAUGGGACCGGAAGACGCGUUCAGAUUGUUACUUCUCUCGCGAUUACUCAGCCGGUCAUUUCCGUUUGCUCCGCGUUCAUUCUGCAUUUAAUCUUUUUGAUACUGCGCCUUCUCUCUUCGCAAACCGAUCGAUAAUCAUCUGUAAGAAUUCAUUUAACGUGUCUUAGGGUCCAUUAAUUUCGUCCCUCACGUCUCUCGGUCCCGUCGCGACGGUUCUCCGUGAAAGAAACAGUAAUGGGCAGUCCCCGUGAUGUCCCUAAACAGCGAAUCGUUCGCGAAUGCACACACAGACGGACGGACGGACAGCGUAGACAGAACAAUAGGGAGAACGGGGGAGAAAAAAGAAAAAGAAAACACUUGGUCCAUGUCCAAUGAUAUUUAUUCGUGCCGUUUUGUUAUGUAAAUAGCCGGACAAACUGCAUAAUAUAGUAAGUAAUUCGAAUUAUACUAUCGCCAUUUAGUAUAAAGGACUAUAGAUAAAAUAAUUAAUAUUAUUGUCAGACUGUAAAUAAAAUUAUUUUGUAUGCCAAAAUAAACCAAAUGAAGUGACUCGACACACAACGGUCAAACACAGUCUCGCGUCGGAACAACAAUACGUAUUAACACAUAUUAUAUACACGGCACACACACACGCACACACGCACAUACACACGUACAUACAGACCUACACAGGACACGCUGAAAUGAAAAGUAUAAAAAAAGAUAAAAGAACAAAAAACAGAAUGUAUACACGAGCGUAUACACGCGGAAAAGCACGUGUAUAUUUAUGGGUGAGGAUAGAGUGAGGUGGUCGACCCAGCGGGACCAAAGGCUAGAGGUUCCUAAGUCAGUUCCUCUUUCAGAUCAGUUCUCAGAUUUCUUUGAAACGUCGGAGACAGGCCCGCACCCGCGAUGAAGAACCUCUGUGAUCCCACUGGAUUCACUGUUUCAUUGUAUCGUUACCGCCAAGUGCGUACACUUGGAUGUAUAGUGAGGUAGUGAAGCGUAUACUUUGAUAUUGCGACGUGGCCAGUCCAGUGGGACCAUGAAGAGAUUGUUCAACCCCGUCGGAUUAGAAUGUAACGGUAGACCAUGGAGUUUCACGCGAGUACUUACAAUCAACCACCUUCAAACUAAAUAGAAUUGUUUUCUGAAUCGACAGUUUAACGGUAUAACGAAACGUGAUAAAACUCCAUGGAAAUUUCUAUCUCUGUAACCUGUAAAGACUCCUGUCUCCUUUGCACACUGUAAACCCAUAGGAAUGUCCAUCUAAGCGAGUGCACGAGAAUCUUCUCUCUCAACAAUCCGAGUUAAUCUCAAACCAAGCAUUUCUAAAGCAUCAAAAGCAAUUUCUAUUCAUGGUCCGCUGUGUUUGCUACCCCGUUGUAUCGCCUUCGAGUAUAUAUCCAAGCGUGAAGCGAUGCACCCAACGGGACUAUGGAAGAGGAUUCAAGCCGAAGCGCAUAAAACAAUCUCCGCGUACCGAACACGUUCCCCUCUUAUUUCUUAACACUAGGUUUACGGAACGCGUCAAAUUGCCGCAUAUUGGAUUUUAGAAACAUUAUUUUGUAAAUGUUUACGCCGAUUUUGAUUGAUGCGAUCACACUGACAUGUACCCAAAUUACCUACUAUCAAAUCUCCAGUUUCCACAAUCUAAAUAAACGAGCAUCAAUUCUUUUAGGAAUAAUAGAAUGAAGUCUACAAUAAAUGCCCGUAAACCUAGUGUUAAACACGCAAACCGUUGAAAGAUAGCGCCAACGAAUCCCUCGUUUAUGCUCCUAUUGGGUUCCACUGGCACACGCUAUGCCGUUACCUCCGAGUAUGUAAGCGAACAGAAUAAAACAUUGUGGUACAAGCUACAGUACGCGGCAUCGGGCGAGAUAGACUACAACAUAAAAUUAUCUUUGCGAAGCAUGCGCAUAGUUAGAGCGAACCACGGUUUAAUACUCGCAGUUUCCGUUCACCGUAGGUUGAUUAUUUUUUAAGGAGAGAGAGAGAGUGUGUGUGCGUGCGUGUGUGUAUGUGUGCAUGAGAGAGAGAGGAAGAGAGAUUGAUGAGUUCGAAACCCACCACCGUCUAUUCGCGAACGUCCGUGCGUACUGUACCGGGUGGACCGGAAAGAAAACGCGUCGCCGCCCGUUUCUCGACGCGAAACCACCGUAUAUAUAUAUAAACUUAUACAAUGACACGUACACAGACCACACACCUUUACCAAGCGAUUAUUUUCUCCCGUUUGCGUCGACGAUGGAAAAAAAGAAACACAACCGAGAACAAAAGAACAGCCGGCGCGUGCGAAGAAACGCGACCGUGCGGUCCGUUCGUAAUUAUUAAAUAAUAUUACUAUUAAAGUAUUGAUAAUACAUUAAUAUCACGAUUAUUAUAAUCACAGAGACGCAUACACACAUGUACACAGAAAGACAGAGGAUACGAAGGAAGAAGAAGACGGGAGUGAUCUACCAAACACAUAUAACACUCGUGCACCGCAUUACAUUAAUGUACAUACACAACGCCUACCACGCGGAACGAACGCGUUGACUGCCACGUUUUUCAGCGUUUUCUGUGUAGAGUACCAUUGUUACUUAGUGAUAAUUAUUACUAUGGUAAUAGUGGUAACGAUAAUGAUUACUAAUGGUAGUAAUUACUGUGACUAUGGGAAUAGUAAUAUUUGCUAUGAUGGUUGUUACGCUGUUAGUAAUUAUUAUUACUGUUAUUCUUAUUAUUAUGUAUUAGUAGUAAUUAUUACUAUCAUUACAGUAAUACUACUGCUCGAUCUUUCGCAAAGAUAAAUGGUAUUAGAACUCUUAACGAUUCGAUAUCACAACUCAAACGUUACUCACAAAUAUUUCCAUUCGGUAUGAAUUUUCUUGACGAGAUUGUCCUCGAGCAAUUCGGAAUGUCCAGUCAUCGGUGGCCACCGUAGCAGUCAACGGUGUUAACGGUUAAAAAGAAAAGAACGCGAUAAGAGCCGCGAAACGACAAGAAAUCUCGCAUCGACGUUCUUCUUCCUCCUCGUCGUAAUUUCUCUUUUUUUUCCGUGCAUAUCGUGGAUCGACGCCGAUCCCUUGAAAUCGACGGUGAAAAUGGCGGGGGAAACAGAAAGUAACGAACAAAGGGAUAGGAUAAGAGACUGGGGAGAAAGGCGAUCAUUGUAUUUAUCGAUUGUAUCCACUGAUCGGAUCCGUCAGCUCGGACAUCGUUAAUCUUGAUCGCGCGAGACGGCCUGGGAAAAGAGGAAAUCGGCCUUUGACGUUCGUUCGUUUAUAAUACGUUGACUGCCACGAAGAAUUGCCACGUUUCGUGUGUCGCUUGUUCUUUUCGCAGCGGAGAUAAGAACCAUUUAUCAACCCCUUGCCGUACAGUGUCGAAUAGAUAUCAAUGUUAUUCGUAGAAGUAAAGAACUUGUUUCGUUAUUGUGAAUAUUUUACCUUCGACGGAAACGUGUACUUGUAAUAAGCGGAAAAUUCUGUCUAAUUGUUACGGAUUAAAUAGAUUCGAGGAGCGUGACCCGAAUCAAAUGGUACGGCGAGAGGGUUGAACCGUUUACUUUGAAAAUGCUUUAAGUCGACUUGAAAAAGAAACUAUUAACACUUUGAGAAGUCAAGAUUCUUAAUAAUUGUUCCACUAUCUUUCUUAUAUCUCAUAUCCAAGGAAAUUCGGUUUUUUCGAUGUCAGGAAGAAAAUUGAUGUCCAAGUUUCUGUGAAAAAUAGUGUCACAGUUCGCGUGACAUGGCAGUGAAAGUAUUAAGAAAUAAAAAGAUUAUGUAGAAUAACUAUUAUAACGAUUAACUUGAUUUCUUUGAACAAUGGACGUACAUUUUCCAAAGUAAACGAUUAUUUGAUGUCACGAUUCUUACGUUGCACUGUGAUCUAUAUAUUCACGCUAUUCGAUAUCUCUAUUCGAGUCAUCUAAAUUGUAAUCGUUUUCGAGUAGUUUAGAUAGUAAGUGAUCGGUGAGCAUCGUGGCAGUCAACGUGUCAACGAGAACAGGAGAAUGGUACACGUUAGCAAUAAAUCUGCGGCGGCGACUCGGCCCGAUGAAAUACCGUUCCGUUCGUCGGCCGAUACUGCGACUGAUGUUUCUCGUCAUUAUUAACCCCUUGAUCAUUCUUAACUUCACCCUUGACGAUUCACCAAGAAACUUAGAGGAACUCGCGAUUCAUCCAUGUCCACCUUUAAAACGCAACGGUUAAUAAGAGAAGAAUAGUAUUCAAUCUGAAUAACAAUUGAUGAUUUAACUCUCUAUGGGCCGAAUUUCGUUUCGUGAUUAGAACAAAAUUUGCAGUAUGAAAUUAAUAAAUAUCAACAUAUGAACACAAAUUAACAAUGUAUUCAAUAGUUUCAACAAUUUUAUUGAAACGAAUAUAUUUUGUAACUUUGACAUUACAAUGACGUUGAACGUAAACGCCUGUGUGUACAAAAGUUUAAGUUGGUUAAUUAUUUAAUGUUUGUCAUUUUGCAAUAAAAAAUUAAAUACGUCAAUUUAACUCGGUAUAUUGAUGUGUGACUUCAAAGUCGCACGAGCCUAUAGAGGGUUAAUUUAACAUUGAAAGAAUAGUAUUUAAUCCAAUAACCGAGUUAACUUCCCUUAAGUUAACUCGUGACUGUUAACCAUUCGCUACCAGUUCUCUCGAUAGCAGCUGUGAUUACAAUAUUUUAUUAAAAACAUAUCGUCUUUAUAAAAUACACAGAAUAUUAAGAACAAAUAUCUUCAUAACUUUCUGUACAUUAUUUAUAUUAAUUACAAAUGUAAUUUACUCUUUACAACGCACGAGAUCGUCACAUUUGUGGCUGUAAUCCUAUAUUUUACAGUGAAGAUGAAAUUAAUGAUAUUGUUAUUAAUUAUAAACUACGACAGUAUAUGCAUGAACUCAAUGACUCGUUUCAGUUUCAUUUUUCUCGUAUUUUAUUGGAUUUAUUGGAUUGUCAUCGGAAUAAGCGCUGGUAGCGAACGCGUUAAUCUAAUUUUUGCAAGCUCCAUUCGAGAACUGUCUUCCCAGUCUAAGUUAUCGCGUGACAAGGGGUUAACGAGAGGAACGAAGAAGAAAAGGCGAGGAAAUGAACGAUUUCCGAAGAACCAAGCAGAUUUUAUCGUGCCGAUGAACGAUUGUAUUCCCGUGCGGCCGAGAACGAACGUUUCGCUUCUCGCUUCGCGGAACGAGGGAGGCCGGAUAACAGAGUGAAAGAGGAACUGGAAGCGUAUAGGGUAUAAUGGAAAGUAAAACAAAAAUCGUAGACCAACACUUUCUUUUCUAGCGUUGUUCUCUUGGCUGUGCGGCACGAGCAGCGUUUAUGGUUAACCCCUUGCCUUAAGGUUCACUUCUCAGCCAUGAUCGAUACACUUACUUUGUCAAUAAUAAUUUAUUGGGAAGAAGACAAAGAUUCUAAGCAUAUUCCAUGUUCGUGUAUACUCUGAAUUAGAAUAUGACAGAAGUCAAUAAUAUUUCAUUGAAUAUUUCAUUAAUAUUUCAGAUGAGUAAUGAACAGUGAAUGUCACAUGAAUAUCUCGUUUAAAUUCAAGAGAAUCGAGUGAUAUCUAUGCUUAUUAAAUUCUGUUUAACACUAGAACUACCAAGCAGUCAAGUUGACUUCGAAAUUUCUAUGAAAACCCAGAAGUUCAUCUGUCGAGACUUCGAAAACUUAGUUUAUAUGUUACUGAAACAAUUCCUUUAGAAAUUUCUCAGAGGAUCUAUUUUCCAAUAAUUGUGAAAGAAUAAUUUAGGAAUGGGUCAUUUUAACCCAUCCGGUAGUUUUAGUGUUAAAAUCGUUACGAGUCUGACACGUCACGAGGCAAGGGGUUAAUCGGUUUCCGGUCGACGGAUGAAAAGAAAAACGUGACAAAAGGAACGAGGGAACUAGGAUAAACGAAAUCGGUUGCGAACGGUGUUUUCUUUUUUCUUUUUUUUAGCGCCGCACGUUUCCCUUUUCGAAGAUCGAAACGGAAAGAUCUUCGGUCGAGAGACAAUUGUUUUUCGUUCGACACUUAAGAGACGAGAGAAAUAAAAGGAAUAGCUCUGCCAUUUCCUUUUUCGGAGAAAAACUAACGAGAAAAGAAUUAUACACUGGCUCGAGCGCGUUACAGGAAGACGAGAGAGAAUGUUUUUCUUUUUUUUAUAUAUAUAUAAAUAAAAAUAUAUAUAUAUAGAAGCGAACAGAAGUUAAGCUAAUGAACCGUGUCCGCGAUGUAAAUAAAUUUAUUCUUAAGGACUUAAAAACUGAAGCGACGAUUCGCGAAGAGUGUAUACUUAUUAUUAAUUAUUAAUUAUUAUUAUUAAUUAUUAUUAUUAAUUAUUAUUAUUAUUAUUAUUAUUAUUAUUAUUAUUAUUAUUAUUAUUAUUAUUAUUAUUAUUAUCAUCAUUAUCGUUUGCAAGUCGUGCAUUUGUAUUUCACGCACGGCCCGUGGAGAACGGGCUAGCCAACGUGAAUACAGGCUCGCACCGGAAGUCCUCAGUCGCGGGAAAAGCUCGCUCGCUCGGUCGCUCGCUCGCCUGAAUUUUCUUGGUCUCUCGCGUGGAACGGCAAUGACUUUCGCGUGGAAUGGCGAUCACUUUCACGUGGAAAACGGAGAUAAAACGAACGCAAGGAACAGGGAUACGAUUUUCUUUCGAUAACUUCCGUUAGACGACGAUUUUUUGCUUUCUCCGUCCCUUGUUCCCGAUUUUUUGGGGAAUCGUUCGGAUGUUUUUGGUAGGCUGACGGUUUCUCGAUGAUCAGUGAACAGGACAUAACAUAUUGAACUUCGUGGAAGAACCAAGUUUUAUGUUGGAACGUACCACUUUAGGGAAACUGAUGUUUAAAGAGAAAUUAGAAUUCGAAUUUGAAUGGUGUUAGAGUCUUAGACGAGUUCCGGUUUCGAAUUUUUACGAGGGUCGUUCCUAUGGUGGUUAGGAUGAUCCUCGGUGAUCAUGGGAGAAAGAUUCUGCGAGUGUCUUGUUCACCGAUCGAUGAACAGUUUCGCUGUAAUUAAUGCACGAGUGCGAUCGUUGCACUGUAACGGGGACUCGCUUUCGACGUAUACGUUUGGAUCAUUGGAGAGAUGUUUUCUUUUUGUAGCAGGGAACUAUUAAAAGUGUAACUUUCCUUUGAUUUCUCACGACUGACGAUCUUCGGGAUUGAGAGCCGAGCUUGCCUAGUUUCAGGCGGCGUUAAAAAAAAGUUAUCCUCAAUAAAGAGAGAAGCAAAAGAAUGACUAAAACAAAUAUCACGGUUUAGAAGUUAUUUCAAACCCCUCUACGCCAUUUGUGUUCUAUUUGAUUGAUCGGUUAAAUUAAUUAUUUGCAGAUCUCUUGGAAUUUAAUCCCUUGCACUCUAGAGGUUUCAGUCACCACUUGAUUUAAUACAGCAAAAUUAUGAAGUUAAAUAUUUAGUAUUCUAAAUGAAAUUUUACAUUUUCACGUGAAAUAUUUAAAUAUUUAAACCAAAUCGAAUUACUAUGGUUCACUCGAGCAUGUCAUGUGAGUUUUUAGGUGGUUACGUUAUUACGUAAUAACUUUUGAUACUUGGAACCGGAUCUGAGUACGAAAAUAAGAUCGAAAAAAUGAAUCUCAUAUUGAAACUAAUGAUGUCUAAUAAUUAACCAAUCAUAAGUUAAUUAUUAAUUCUUUAGUUGACGAUGUUUCUGGAAUUAUAGAAGUGAGAUAAUUAAAUUAACACUUGGGUGUAAAUGCAAGUGUCAAACAAGAUUACUGUCGAAUUAGUACGUACAAAGAACAGUGUGCAAGAUUUGAUAAAGCUUAUAAAACCCACGACAUUGUAAAAUUAAAAUUUAUUAAUUAAUUAUUCGAUUCGCCGGUAUGAUGGUAUAAUUGUUUGAAGAUUGUUUAA